AGUGAGGAUGGGACACGCCCCCGUGUACUGGCCAAAACUCACGGGGCUGCUGCUCUGCUCACAUGUGUUCGUUUGGAUUCUAGACUAGACUAGCCACGGAUGCGUUUGGGCGUACUAGGCACUCGCAGGCGGCACGUAUGUUGAUGCCCUGACGUGGAGCUCGUUCGUACUGUUGCCUAGUUUUAUUUGUGUGAGAUGUAGGUGUUGUCGGAUU
rnacentral:lncRNA from 1 species